GGUUAAGCGACUAAGCGUACACGGUGGAUGCCCUGGCAGUCAGAGGCGAUGAAGGACGUGCUAAUCUGCGAAAAGCGUCGGUAAGGUGAUAUGAACCGUUAUAGCCGGCGAUGUCCGAAUGGGGAAACCCAGUGUGAUUCGUCACACUAUCGUUAACUGAAUACAUAGGUUAACGAGGCGAACCGGGGGAACUGAAACAUCUAAGUACCCCGAGGAAAAGAAAUCAACCGAGAUUCCCCCAGUAGCGGCGAGCGAACGGGGAGCAGCCCAGAGU
rnacentral:rRNA from 2 species